AGUGAACGCUGGCGGUAGGCCUAACACAUGCAAGUCGAACGGCAGCACAGGAGAGCUUGCUCUCUGGGUGGCGAGUGGCGGACGGGUGAGGAAUACAUCGGAAUCUACUUUUUCGUGGGGGAUAACGUAGGGAAACUUACGCUAAUACCGCAUACGACCUACGGGUGAAAGCAGGGGAUCUUCGGACCUUGCGCGAUUGAAUGAGCCGAUGUCGGAUUAGCUAGUUGGCGGGGUAAAGGCCCACCAAGGCGGCGAUCCGUAGCUGGUCUGAGAGGAUGAUCAGCCACACUGGAACUGAGACACGGUCCAGACUCCUACGGGAGGCAGCAGUGGGGAAUAUUGGACAAUGGGCGCAAGCCUGAUCCAGCCAUACCGCGUGGGUGAAGAAGGCCUUCGGGUUGUAAAGCCCUUUUGUUGGGAAAGAAAUCCAGCUGGCUAAUACCCGGUUGGGAUGACGGUACCCAAAGAAUAAGCACCGGCUAACUUCGUGCCAGCCGCCGCCGUAA
rnacentral:rRNA from 1 species